AGCGAACGCUGGCGGCAGGCUUAACACAUGCAAGUCGAACGCCCCGCAAGGGGAGUGGCAGACGGGUGAGUAACACGUGGGAACGUACCCUUUGGUUCGGAAUAACUUGGGGAAACUCAAGCUAAUACCGGAUAAGCCCUUAUGGGGAAAGGUUUACUGCCGAAGGAUCGGCCCGCGUCUGAUUAGCUAGUUGGUGAGGUAAUGGCUCACCAAGGCGACGAUCAGUAGCUGGUCUGAGAGGAUGAUCAGCCACACUGGGACUGAGUCACGGCCCAGACUCCUACGGGAGGCAGCAGUGGGGAAUAUUGGACAAUGGGGGCAACCCUGAUCCAGCCAUGCCGCGUGAGUGAUGAAGGCCUUAGGGUUGUAAAGCUCUUUACCCGGGACGAUAAUGACAGUACCGGGAGAAUAAGCCCCGGCUAACUUCGUGCCAGCCGCCGCCGUAA
rnacentral:rRNA from 1 species